rfam:Rhizobium sp. LC145 LC145_contig19, whole genome shotgun sequence.
GGGCAAGAUGGGUGAAGUUAGCUAACCGGCGAGCCGGUCAUCUAUCUUCACUCCCCCUUAUUCGCACCUGGCGGUGCUCAACGGGCAUCUUGCUCUGCGAGGCU